GCGCCUGUAGCUCAGCUGGAUAGAGCGUCUGGCUACGAACCAGAAGGUCGGGAGUUCAAGUCUCUCCAGGCGCGCCA
rnacentral:tRNA from 1 species